rnacentral:lncRNA from 1 species
AGGUUCGGCGUGGAUCUCGCGUGAAGCCGAGGAUUCGGUGGACGCUUCAAGGAGAUGAGGCGUUGACGCGCAAGGAGUUGAGGCGUUGACGCUGCAAGGAGUUGCGGCGAGGUCGAUUGGAGGAUUCCUAUCGAUCGAGGACCGACGAAGAUCACCAUCAACGGAAAUUCGGUAAAUUGAGUCGUGUAUUUUUGUUAAAAUCACUUGUACUCAAGUUUUCUUAGUAGAUUUUCUUCGCAUGAUCAGUCCCGUGGGUUUUUCACUCCGGAUUGGAGUUUUCCCACGUUAAAUUCUCGGAGUGCUGUUUUAUUUU